rnacentral:rRNA from 1 species
UUAAUUGCGAUAACGAACGAGACCUUAACCUGCUAAAUAGCCAGGCUAGCUUUGGCUGGUCGCCGGCUUCUUAGAGGGACUAUCGGCUCAAGCCGAUGGAAGUUUGAGGCAAUAACAGGUCUGUGAUGCCCUUAGAUGUUCUGGGCCGCACGCGCGCUACACUGACAGAGCCAACGAGUUUCUUCCUUGACCGAAAGGUCUGGGUAACCUUGUUGAACUCUGUCGUGCUGGGGAUAGGGCAUUGCAAUG